rnacentral:rRNA from 1 species
UACGUAGGGUGCGAGCGUUAAUCGGAAUUACUGGGCGUAAAGCGUGCGCAGGCGGUUUUGUAAGCCAGAUGUGAAAUCCCCGGGCUUAACUUGGGAACUGCGUCUGAUACUGGAAGGCUUGAGUGCGGGAGAGGGAUGUGGAAUUCCAGGUGUAGCGGUGAAAUGCGUAGAUAUCUGGAGGAACACCGGUGGCGAAGGCGGCAUCCUGGACCGACACUGACGCUGAGGCGCGAAAGCUAGGGGAGCAAACGGG